rnacentral:rRNA from 1 species
UUUAUGGAGAGUUUGAUCCUGGCUCAGGACGAACGCUGGCGGCGUGCCUAAUACAUGCAAGUCGAGCGGACUGAUUAAGAGCUUGCUCUUAUGACGUCAGCGGCGGACGGGUGAGUAACACGUGGGCAACCUGCCC